rnacentral:rRNA from 1 species
AGCAGCCGCGGUAAUUCCAGCUCCAAUAGCGUAUAUUAAAGUUGUUGCAGUUAAAAGCUCGUAGUUGAACUUCGGGGUUUACCCAUUGGUCAGGCUUAAUUGUCUGUACUGGUGAGAUAAAUCUCUACCUUCUGAGGAACUUUCAUGCCAUUUAUUUGGUGUGAUGGGAAAUCAGGACUGUUACUUUGAAAAAUUAGAGUGUUUAAAGCAGGCUAACGUCUGAAUACAUUAGCAUGGAAUAAUGAAAUAGGACGGACUGAUUCUAUUUCGUUGGUUUCUAGGAUCACCGUAAUGAUUAAUAGGGAUAGUUGGGGGCAUUAGUAUUCAAUUGUCAGAGGUGAAAUUCUUGGAUUUAUUGAAGACUAACUACUGCGAAAGCAUUUGCCAAGGAUGUUUUCAUUAAUCAAGAACGAAAGUUAGGGGAUCGAAGACGAUCAGAUACCGUCGUAGUCUUAACCAUAAACUAUGCCGACUAGGGAUCGGACGAAGUUAAUUUUAUAAUGACGCGUUCGGCACCUUA